AUGGGCCUGGCUGACAUGAAAAAUACAUUAGGGGAAAGGAUCCAUAGAUACAGAGGCUGAUUAUCUUUCUGCACAUCUCUUUAUUUACAAUGCUGGCUGUCAUGGUUAACAAAAAUGCAGGACAUUGAAUGCUACCUGAAUUGACUCAGAAAAGUAACAUAAAUAGGCCUAUAGUAUCACAGCAAGGUCAAACAGGUGUGUGUGUCAGAUUAUCCAGUGUCCACAGCAACAUCAUUGAUUAUUCCCUACUGUGAUGUGUACUAUGGUUUUAGCCAUGCUCUCACUAACACUCAUAUUUUCUCUUUCUCCCCUUACGUAGGUUCUUGGACCGCAACUGAGGACACCCUGGCCUGAUUCCUAGACGUGCCUGGGCCAAUCCCACCUGGCCCCCUUCUACCUGCCUGUUGGUGUCCUGAUUCCUAGACGUGCCUGGGCCAAUCCCACCUGGCCCCCUUCUACCUGCCUGUUGGUGUCCUGAUUCCUAGACAUGCCUGGGCCAAUCCCUGCUUGUUGCUGCCUCCACUGGUUCUUUCUCUCCCUCAAGUCAAAUGAACUCCCUCAUCUUUUCUCUGUCUCCUCUUCCAGAGGGCCUGAGGCUCUAGGACCGCAACUGAGGCUUGACACCUGGACGUGUUGUUUUGUUGUUCCAUGAUACAUGGCGUAGAUGUGUCUAUAGUCUGGGGCGACUUUACUUUUAAGGUGGCUGUUUUUACAUCUGUAGGACAAUUGCUGAAAUAUACGAUAUUGCAUUCGUAGGUAGGAUACAUUAUUCAGAGAAAUUGUAGGCAAAUUAUUUACAUGUUUUUGAGUGUGUUUGUCUGAUUUUGUAGAAUUCAUCACCAAAUGGAAUCACUGCUCUACUGUGAAGUUGUCACGUACCAUCCCAUACCAUCACAGACACAGUCCUCCUCCAGCCAGUGUCAUAGCCAUGCAGUGUGCCAGGUCUUCUGCUUGGGGUGGUUCUUCUCAUCCAUGAUAAUAACCUUCCCCACAUCCACUCUGACUUGAAGUACUAUUUUCUCCCAGUAGGGGACACCAGGAGGGUUUUCAAUGGCUUUUAGAAUGUCUCAACUAACAUAGACACCAGUUCCAAGAACACUUUAGUCUGCACUUGGUGUGAAACCAUUGUUCUUAAUCAACUCUGUUGUGGUGCCGUGGAACAUCACAUAUUCUGUCUGAUCUUCAGGAAGUGUGUUGUUGUCUAGGAAGUUGAUGUAGUAUGGACAGUUAGCCAUAAGCUAGUAACCAAACUGCAACUGAAUACACCUCUGCUGAGGUGAACAGUAUUAUAAGUCAAUACAAUGCACAAUUAGACUGUGUAAUAUGAAAUAGUCCUUUGGCUAAAACUGUUACACUAAAUAGUGAUAUUUAUACAAUAACAAUAUGCCGAAUCACUAUUGUUACAGUAAUAUUACAAGUGUUGUAACAUUAUCAUGCUUAACAUAGAAAUGUACUUUGUAAACAGGGAUUGUUUGAUAUAUCUAAGUUAAGUGUCCAAUAACAAGACUGUUUAAUAAAAAAUGUGUUUAUUAUA